GUCAUGAAGGAGCUCAAACUGGAAUUUUGGUAAAAUGAAGAAAUCAAAGUACAACAGACACUUAGCUUCAUACAAACAGACUGAUUUAGCGUUUAACCAGAGAGAGAGAGAGAGAGAGAGAGAGAGAGAGAGAGCAGUGAGGUGUAACUGAGAUUUGCAUUAACAGGACUGAAGAGUUUCAUUUCUCCCAGAAUAGCAAUUGCCAGUCCAUGCUUCAGUGCUCUGCGAGUGUUUAUAGCCCUGUGACUUUAACACUUCAUGACUGAGAGCUGCUGCUCAGCAACUUCACCCACAGCAACCAUGACUUUGAUCAGUGUCUUCAUCUGCACACUGGCCCUCUGGACUCAAGGAUCCAGAGGUCAGGUGACUGUGACUCAGACUCCUUCAGUGCAAACUGCUGAUCCAGGAAACACAGUCACCCUCAACUGUAGAACCAGUAGCAGUGUGCAUGGUGGUAGCUAUCUCGCCUGGUACCUGCAGAAACCUGGAGAAGCUCCUAAACUCCUGAUCUACUUGGCUACUACUUUACAGUCAGGGACUCCAGCUCGUUUCAGUGGCAGUGGAUCUAAUACUGACUUCACUCUGACCAUCAGAGGAGUCCAGACUGAAGAUGCAGGAGAUUACUACUGUCAGAGUUUACAUCAGAUCAGUGGUAGCUGGGUGUUCACACAGUGUUAGAGCGCCGUACAAAAACCUCGGUCAGUGAGAGUGCACAGAGAAGCACUGCUGCAGCUGGGAGCGACUGCAGGUGCUGAGGGGGAGGAUGUGAUACAGCACAAUGACACACACUGUGGACGAGAGAAAACACACCACACUAACUCACUAAUGCACACACACAUCUGUGAGAGGAGUCCACCUUUCUCAGCUGUGGACAUACAAACUAUUCCUCAUCAUUCUCUUUCACUGCUUAGUAAUUAUCUUUAUCCUAAUUUAGAAAGUUAAAGAAAGUAUUUAUUAUAUUUAUAUUUUGUUACAUAUAUGAUUUACCAAAAGAGUUCUUUAUGGUUAAUAUCAAACACUAUUAUAGAGUUAAUAUUUUAUUAUAUAAUUUUAAUGUUCAUUAAAUAGAGCCACUUUAUAGA